rnacentral:rRNA from 1 species
GCAGCCGCGGUAAUUCCAGCUCCAAUAGCGUAUAUUAAAGUUGUUGCAGUUAAAAAGCUCGUAGUUGAAUUUCGAGACCGGUUUACUGGUCGUGCUUUUGUACGUACUGGUAUUAUUGGUUUCUCCUUUCUGACGAAUCAUAAUGCCAUUAAUUUGGUGUUUUGGGGAAUCAGGACUGUUACUUUGAAAAAAUUAGAGUGUUUAAAGCAGGCUCACGCUUGAAUACAUUAGCAUGGAAUAACGAAAUAGGACGUUUGAUUUUAUUUUGUUGGUUUCUAGGAUCGACGUAAUGAUUAAUAGGGAUAGUUGGGGGCAUUAGUAUUCAAUUGUCAGAGGUGAAAUUCUUGGAUUUAUUGGAGACUAACUACUGCGAAAGCAUUUGCCAAGGAUGUUUUCAUUAAUCAAGAACGAAAGUUAGGGGAUCGAAGACGAUCAGAUACCGUCGUAGUCUUAACCAUAAACUAUGCCGACUAGGGAUCGGAUGAUGUUAAUUUUUUAAUGACUCAUUCGGCGCCUUACGGGAAA